GUCCACGCCCUAAACGAUGAUUACUCGACAUACGCGAUACACAGUGUGUGUCUGAGCGAAAGCAUUAAGUAAUCCACCUGGGAAGUACGACCGCAAGGUUGAAACUCAAAGGAAUUGACGGGGUCCGCACAAGCGGUGGAGCAUGUGGUUUAAUUCGAUGAUACGCGAGGAACCUUACCUGGGCUAGAAUGCAGUUGGACCGAUCCUGAAAGGGGUCUUUCCCGCAAGGGACCGAUUGUAAGGUGCUGCAUGGCUGUCGU
rnacentral:rRNA from 1 species